GUUUGUAAUUUAAAUCUAGAAUGAAUGAUUGUAUGAAAAAUAUUCUUUUUUAAUUUUAAAAUUUAAAUUUUAUAUUUUAGUUAAAAAGCUUAAAUAAUUUAAAUAGACGAGAAGACCCUAUAGAAUUUUAUUAAUUUUAUUUUUUUUUAAAAAAAAUAAUUAAUUUAAUUGGGGAGAUUAAUAAAUUUAAUUAACUUUUUUAAAAUAAAAUCAAAAAUUAUUGUUUUUUUGAUCUUUUUAUAAUGAUUAAAAAAUUAAAUUACCUUAGGGAUAACAGCAUAAUUUUUUAAAAAAGUUCUUAUUUUUUAAAAAGUUUAU
rnacentral:rRNA from 1 species